GACGAACGCUGGCGGCGUGCUUAACACAUGCAAGUCGAACGGAAAGGCCCAGCUUGCUGGGUACUCGAGUGGCGAACGGGUGAGUAACACGUGGGUGAUCUGCCCCAAACUUCGGGAUAAGCCUGGGAAACUGGGUCUAAUACCGGAUAUGACCUGCUCCUGCAUGGGGGUUGGUGGAAAGCUUUUGCGGUUUGGGAUGGGCCCGCGGCCUAUCAGCUUGUUGGUGGGGUAAUGGCCUACCAAGGCGACGACGGGUAGCCGACCUGAGAGGGUGAUCGGCCACACUGGGACUGAGACACGGCCCAGACUCCUACGGGAGGCAGCAGUGGGGAAUAUUGCACAAUGGGCGCAAGCCUGAUGCAGCGACGCCGCGUGAGGGAUGACGGCCU
rnacentral:rRNA from 1 species